UACGUAGGGUGCAAGCGUUGUCCGGAAUUAUUGGGCGUAAAGAGCUCGUAGGCGGUCUGUCGCGUUCGGCUGUGAAAACCCGGGGCUCAACCCCGGGCCUGCAGUCGAAUACGGGCAGACUAGAGUGCGGUAGGGGAGACUGGAAUUCCGUGGUGUAGCGGUGAAAUGCGCAGAUAUCAGGAGGAACACCGGUGGCGAAGGCGGGUCUCUGGGCCGUAACUGACGCUGAGGAGCGAAAGCGGUGGGAGCGAACAGGAUUAGAACUAC
rnacentral:rRNA from 1 species